rnacentral:rRNA from 1 species
UCCGUAGGCGGCAUGUUAGGUGAGGUGUGAAAUCCCCCGGCUCAACCGAGGAAUUGCGCUUCAAACCGGCGUGCUUGAGGAAGAUAGAGGUGGGCGGAACUGAUGGUGGAGCGGUGAAAUGCGUUGAUAUCAUCAGGGACACCGGAGGCGAAGGCGGCCCACUGGGUCCUUUCUGACGCUGAGGGACGAAAGCUAGGGGAGCGAAC